CUUUAGGCUUCUCUAGAAGCCACCACAACAAUCUCUAAAUAUCUUG
rfam:Colinus virginianus strain Texas jcf7180006209442, whole genome shotgun sequence.